rnacentral:rRNA from 1 species
AAGCUCGUAGUUGAAUUUCGGGGUCAAUAUGUUGGUCGUGCCAUUGGUACGUACCGGCAUUAUUGGUUUCUACCUUCUGAAGAACCUCGAUGUCAUUAAUUUGGUGUCUUGGGGAAUCAGGACUGUUACUUUGAAAAAAUUAGAGUGUUUAAAGCAAGCUCGCGCUUGAAUACAUUAGCAUGGAAUAAUGAAAUAGGACGUUUGAUUCUAUUUUGUUGGUUUCUAGGAUCGACGUAAUGAUUAAUAGGGAUAGUUGGG